ACUUCAGUUACACGGCCGCAGAACUUGCAAGGGAGUCGAAGCAGGUUUGUACCUCUGACUAAGGAAGGAUUGAAAUCGACAACUAGCAGCUUCCGCCACUUGGAGUUUUCACAAACUGCAGAGAAGACAGGUUGCUUUCCUUGCCAUAAUCCAUCAAUUUCCAAAGAGUACAAAAGUCCUUGAAGAAAGAAGCCUAUAGCUGUCAAAAAGAUGCAGGAGUCAUCUCAGGAAGUCUGAAGAACCCCACCAGUAGAUCCUGGAAAAAAAAAAAAACAAACAAACAGAACCUAGAAAAGUAAAACUAACAGAGAAGCCUGUAUGUACACUUCAGUGCAAGAUAUUAUUAUUUUGAGUUCAGUGGAACUCCAUGGUAAUGGUGGCUGGGACCAACGUGCCGGGAUCAUGUCCAGUGGAAGAAGCAGCUAUUCUGUAUAUGUCCAAGCAUGGGAAACACAUUUCUCAGCUGAGUUAAAUAAGACACAAAGUGGCAAUUAA
rnacentral:lncRNA from 1 species